UAGGGAAUCUUCCACAAUGGACGCGAGUCUGAUGGAGCAACGCCGCGUGAGUGAAGAAGGUUUUCGGAUCGUAAAGCUCUGUUGUUGGUGAAGAAGGAUAGAGGCAGUAACUGGUCUUUAUUUGACGGUAAUCAACCAGAAAGUCACGGCUAACUACGUGCCAGCAGCCGCGGUAAUACGUAGGUGGCAAGCGUUGUCCGGAUUUAUUGGGCGUAAAGCGAGCGCAGGCGGAAUGAUAAGUCUGAUGUGAAAGCCCACGGCUCAACCGUGGAACUGCAUCGGAAACUGUCAUUCUUGAGUGCAGAAGAGGAGAGUGGAAUUCCAUGUGUAGCGGUGGAAUGCGUAGAUAUAUGGAAGAACACCAGUGGCGAAGGCGGCUCUCUGGUCUGCAACUGACGCUGAGGCUCGAAAGCAUGGGUAGCGAACAGG
rnacentral:rRNA from 1 species